rnacentral:misc_RNA from 1 species
AACCAUUCUCACCUGCGGCUAGACCUGCGGAGGGAUCAUUAUCGAGUUGCAAAACUCCAACCCUUUGUGAACAUACCUCAGUCGUUGCUUCGGCGGUGGACGGCCUGUUUUUCGGAACGGCCGGAAGCCGCCGGAGGUUCCAAACUCGUAUUUUUUAGUGUAUCUCUGAGCCUGAAAACAAAUAAUCAAAACUUUCAACAACGGAUCU